rnacentral:piRNA from 1 species
UGAUUGAUGAUGGUAGCAGAC